rnacentral:lncRNA from 1 species
AGGAGUAAUGGAGUAUAUAUAUACAUUCCCACAUGCAUGUCACAUGAAGAUUUUAUUAUGGAUCAAAUCAUUGUCCGUUGUUUGACAUGAUGGAAUAGUGCAUCAUCUCUAGUCACAUACGGCACAGUUACAUUCCUGAACGGAAGCGUUGACAACCACACAAUUACCAUUUGUGGGGCGACCUCCCCCGUCAUGCUGGCAGGCCAGCCGGCAACUUAAUUCAUCGCAUGAUGUGCCUGAAUAAGCAAUAUGUGAUUUACAAUUCACUGCAGGGAAGAAUAUACAUCAAUAAAAGAAGCUCAAAUUGAGAUAGAUCGAUGGAAGUGAAGUUUAGAAAAUAUAUAUAGCCCGUCGGCAGGAGAAAGGAAACAUAAAGAGGGACAUUUCGUACCAGCAUGGGUGGGAUUUCCUAGCAGCAAAAGCAUCAUCACGCAAAGUAGAAUAGGUUUCCCCUCCAUAAGAUCACACCCAAACUUCUUCUUCUUCUUCUUCUUGGUGUUUCUGUUUUGGCGU